AGAGUUUGAUCCUGGCUCAGGAUGAACGCUGGCGGCGUGCCUAACACAUGCAAGUCGAGCGCGAUUGUUUGGACCUGCGACUUCGGUCAAAGAGAAGAGCAUGAAAGCGGCGGACGGGUGAGUAACGCGUGAGCAACCUGCCCUGUACAGGGGGAUAGCCACUGGAAACGGUGAUUAAUACCCCAUAAGUCUGUAGGACCGCAUGGUCCAGCAGACAAAGCCUUGGCGGUACAGGAUGGGCUCGCGUCUGAUUAGCUAGUUGGUGAGGUAAUGGCUCACCAAGGCUUCGAUCAGUAGCCGACCUGAGAGGGUGAACGGCCACACUGGAACUGAGACA
rnacentral:rRNA from 1 species